rnacentral:rRNA from 1 species
GAUGAACGCUGGCGGCGUGCCUAAUACAUGCAAGUCGAGCGAACAGACGAGGAGCUUGCUCCUCUGACGUUAGCGGCGGACGGGUGAGUAACACGUGGAUAACCUACCUAUAAGACUGGGAUAACUUCGGGAAACCGGAGCUAAUACCGGAUAAUAUAUUGAACCGCAUGGUUCAAUAGUGAAAGACGGUUUUGCUGUCACUUAUAGAUGGAUCCGCGCCGCAUUAGCUAGUUGGUAAGGUAACGGCUUACCAAGGCGACGAUGCGUAGCCGACCUGAGAGGGUGAUCGGCCACACUGGAACUGAGACACGGUCCAGACUCCUACGGGAGGCAGCAGUAGGGAAUCUUACGCAAUGGGCGAAAGCCUGACGGAGCAACGCCGCGUGAGUGAUGAAGGUCUUCGGAUCGUAAAACUCUGUUAUUAGGGAAGAACAAAUGUGUAAGUAACUAUGCACGUCUUGACGGUACCUAAUCAGAAAGCAACGGCUAACUACGUG